GGGUGCGAUCAUACCAGCACUAAUGCAGCGGAUCCGAUCAGAACUCUGAAGUUAAGAGUGCUUGGGCGAGAGUAGUACUAGGAUGGGUGAGCUACAGGGAAAUCCUCAUGUUGCACCCC